rnacentral:rRNA from 1 species
GUGGGGAAUUUUGGACAAUGGGCGAAAGCCUGAUCCAGCCAUGCCGCGUGCAGGAUGAAGGCCUUCGGGUUGUAAACUGCUUUUGUACGGAACGAAAAGACUCCUUCUAAUAAAGGGGGUCCAUGACGGUACCGUAAGAAUAAGCACCGGCUAACUACGUGCCAGCAGCCGCGGUAAUACGUAGGGUGCAAGCGUUAAUCGGAAUUACUGGGCGUAAAGCGUGCGCAGGCGGUUAUAUAAGACAGAUGUGAAAUACCCGGGCUCAACCUGGGAACUGCAUUUGUGACUGUAUAGCUAGAGUACGGUAGAGGGGGAUGGAAUUCCGCGUGUAGCAGUGAAAUGCGUAGAUAUGCGGAGGAACACCGAUGGCGAAGGCAAUCCCCUGGACCUGUACUGACGCUCAUGCACGAAAGCGUGGGGAGCAAACAGGAUUAGAAACCCGUGUAGUCC